rnacentral:rRNA from 1 species
AUUGAACGCUGGCGGCAUGCCUUACACAUGCAAGUCGAGCGGCAGCACGGGUGCUUGCACCUGGUGACGAGUGGCGAACGGGUGAGUAAUACAUCGGAACGUACCUUAUCGUGGGGGAUAACGCAGCGAAAGCUGUGCUAAUACCGCAUAAGCCCUGAGGGGGAAAGCGGGGGAUCGAAAGACCUCGCGCGAUUAGAGCGGCCGAUGCCUGAUUAGCUUGUUGGUGGGGUAAAAGCCCACCAAGGCGACGAUCAGUAGCUGGUCUGAGAGGACGAUCAGCCACACUGGGACUGAGACACGGCCCAGACUCCUACGGGAGGCAGCAGUGGGGAAUUUUGGACAAUGGGGGCAACCCUGAUCCAGCAAUGCCGCGUGAGUGAAGAAGGCCUUCGGGUUGUAAAGCUCUUUUGUCAGGGAAGAAACACCGGCUCUAACACAGUCCGGGAAUGACGGUACCUGAAGAAUAAGCACCGGCUAACUACGUGCCAGCAGCCGCCGUAA